rnacentral:rRNA from 1 species
GACGAACGCUGGCGGCGUGCUUAACACAUGCAAGUCGAACGGAAAGGCCCUGCUUUUGUGGGGUGCUCGAGUGGCGAACGGGUGAGUAACACGUGAGUAACCUGCCCUUGACUUUGGGAUAACUUCAGGAGACUGGGGCUAAUACCGGAUAGGAGCUCCUGCUGCAUGGUGGGGGUUGGAAAGGUACGGCGGUUGGGGAUGGACUCGCGGCUUAUCAGCUUGUUGGUGGGGUAGUGGCUUACCAAGGCUUUGACGGGUAGCCGGCCUGGGAGGGUGACCGGCCACAUUGGGACUGAGAUACGGCCCAGACUCCUACGGGAGGCAGCAGUGGGGAAUAUUGCACAAUGGGCGGAAGCCUGAUGCAGCAACGCCGCGUGCGGGAUGACGGCCUUCGGGUUGUAAACCGCUUUCGCCUGUGACGAAGCGUGAGUGACGGUAAUGGGUAAAGAAGCACCGGCUAACUACGUG